rnacentral:rRNA from 1 species
UACGUAGGGGGCAAGCGUUGUCCGGAAUCAUUGGGCGUAAAGCGCGUGUAGGCGGCCAGAAAAGUCCGCUGUGAAAACUCGAGGCUCAACUUCGAGCUGUCGGUGGAAACUUUCUGGCUAGAGUCCGGAAGAGGAGAAUGGGAUUCCUGGUGUAGCGGUGAAAUGCGCAGAUAUCAGGAAGAACACCCGUGGCGAAGGCGGUUCUCUGGGACGGUACUGACGCUGAGACGCGAAAGCGUGGGGAGCGAACAGG